GAUUAUGGCUCAGGAUGAACGCUGGCGGCGUGCCUAACACAUGCAAGUCGAACGGAAACUAGGCGCUUCGGAGACUUCGGUCAAUGUUGCUUAGUUUAGUGGCGGACGGGUGAGUAACGCGUGGAUAACCUGCCUCAUACAGGGGGAUAACAGUUAGAAAUGACUGCUAAUACCGCAUAAGCGCACGGAAUCGCAUGUUUCUGUGUGAAAAACUCCGGUGGUAUGAGAUGGAUCCGCGUCUGAUUAGCUAGUUGGCGGGGUAACAGCCCACCAAGGCGACGAUCAGUAGCCGGCCUGAGAGGGUGAACGGCCACAUUGGGACUGAGACACGGCCCAAACUCCUACGGGAGGCAGCAGUGGGGGAUAUUGCACAAUGGGGGAAACCCUGAUGCAGCCGACGCCGCGUGAGUGAAGAAGUAUUUCGGUAUGUAAAGCUCUAUCAGCAGGGAAGAUAAUGACGGUACCUGACUAAGGAGCACCGGCUAAAUACGUGCCAGCCGCCGC
rnacentral:rRNA from 1 species